GUCGAGCGGUAACAUUUCAAAGCUUGCUUUGAAGAUGACGAGCGGCGGACGGGUGAGUAAUGCUUGGGAAUAUGCCUUAUGGUGGGGGACAACAGUUGGAAACGACUGCUAAUACCGCAUAAUGUCUACGGACCAAAGGGGGGGAUCUUCGGACCUCUCGCCAUUUGAUUAGCCCAAGUGAGAUUAGCUAGUUGGUGAGGUAAUGGCUCACCAAGGCGACGAUCUCUAGCUGGUUUGAGAGGAUGAUCAGCCACACUGGGACUGAGACACGGCCCAGACUCCUACGGGAGGCAGCAGUGGGGAAUAUUGCACAAUGGGCGCAAGCCUGAUGCAGCCAUGCCGCGUGUGUGAAGAAGGCCUUCGGGUUGUAAAGCACUUUCAGUAAGGAGGAAAGGGAUGUAGUUAAUAGCUGCAUUCUGUGACGUUACUUACAGAAGAAGCACCGGCUAACUUCGUGCCAGCAGCCGCGGUAAUACGAGGGGUGCAAGCGUUAAUCGGAAUUACUGGGCGUAAAGCGCACGCAGGCGGUUUGUUAAGCUAGAUGUGAAAGCCCCGGGCUCAACCUGGGAAUAGCAUUUAGAACUGGCAGACUAGAGUCUUGGAGAGGGGAGUGGAAUUU
rnacentral:rRNA from 1 species